CAGCAUCGCGUGAAUAUCAGGGGCAGUGCUUCUGGACUGGCAGACCAGGGUGGUGGUCCCCCUCUUUAAGAAGGGGGACCGGAGGGUGUGCUCCAACUAUAGGGGGAUCACACUCCUUAGCCUCCCUGGUAAAGUCUAUUUGGGGGUUCUGGAGAGGAGGGUCAGUUGGAUUGUCGAAUCUUGGAUUCAGGAAGAGCAGUGUGGUUUUCGCCCUGGCCGUGGAACAGUGGACCAGCUCUAUACUCUCUGCAGGGUUUUGGAGGGUUCAUGGGAGUUUGCCUAAACAGUCUACAUGUGUUUUGUGGACAGAAGGCAUUCGACCGUGUCCCUCGGGGAGUCCUAUGGGGAGUGCUCCGGGAGUAUGGGGUGCUGGGCUACAUUGUAAGGGCUGUUCGGUCCCUGUAUGACUGGUGUCAGAGCUUGGUCCGCAUAGGCGGCAAUAAGUCGGACUUGUUUCCGGUGAGGGUUGGACUCUGUCAGGGCUGCCCUUUGUCACCAAUUUUGUCCAUAGGUUUAUGGACAGAAUUUCUAGGCACAGCCAGGGCAUUGAGGGUGUCCGGUUUGGUGAUCUCAGCAUUAGGUCUCUGCUUUUUGCAGAUGAUGUGGCUCUGUUGGCUUCAUUGGACUGUGACCUUCGGCUCUCACUGGAGCAGUUUGCAGUCAAGUCUGACAUGGCUAGGUUGAGAAUCAACACCUCCAAAUCCGAGACCAUAGUCCUCAGCCAGAAAAGGGUGGAGUGCUCUCACCGGGUCAGGGAGGGGGUCCUUCCCCAAGUGGAGGAGUUUAAGUAUCUCGGGGUCUUGCUCACAAGUGAGGGAAGGAUGGAACAUAAGAUUGACAGGCGGAUCGGUACGGCAUCAGCAGUGAUGCGGGCACUGCAUCGGUCUGUCAUGGUGAAGAAAGAGCUGAGCCAAAAGGCAAAGCUCUCGAUUUACCAGUCGAUCUACGGUCCAACCCUCACCUAUGGUCACGAGCUAUAGGUAGUGACCAAAAGAACGAGAUCACUAGUAUAAGCGGCCAGAAUGAGUUUCCUGCACAGGAUGGCUAGGUUUUCCCUUAAAGAUAGGGUGAGGAGCUCGGUCAUUCGGGAGAGUAGAGCCGCUGCUCCUCCGCAUUGAGAGGAGCCAAAUUAGGUGGCUCAGGCAUUUGCUUAGGAUGCCUCCUGAAUGCCUCCCUGGUGAGGUGUUCCGGGCAUGUCCCACUGGGAGGAAGCCCUGGGGAAGACCCAGGACACACUGGAGGAACUAUGUUUCUCGGCCUGCCUGGGAACACCUCCGGAUUCCCCAGAGGAGCUGGAUGAAGUGGCCAGGGAGAGGGAAGUCUGGGUUUCCCUGCUGAGACUGCUGCCCCGACCUUGGAUAAGCACCUCAGAGGGUUAAGACCAGACAGGGAUGCGCCGUUCCUUCCAACCAAUGGGCUAACAUGUAAGCCUGUGGCGAGCAUCCGGAAUUUGAGUGUGAGGAAGAAGCUGGAGGAAACAUGAGGAGAACACUCCAAAACGCACAAACACACACAUACACACACAGACACAUACAGGUGGGACUCAAAACCCCAUCCCUGGAGGUGUGAGCCAACACUGCUGCCCCUAUUAUGCAAAAAUAUGAAUACAUAACUCCUACUUUAGACAUUUUAUAGACUUCUAUUUCAGUACACGGUAGACAGGUUAAAAUGAAGAUGAUGCAUACUGUGAUUCUACUGGUCUCAGGCCUCAGUUAAAUGUGUGCUGUGUUACCACAAUGGGAGUAAGGACUGAACUGGGAGCGACAUUAUUUUUAUAAACAGAGUGCGCUGGGGGAAAGCUCUUUAAAGGCUUUUGAAAAAUCAUUCACAAAAACUGA